GAUUGCCUUAGUAACGGCGAGUGAAGCGGCAACAGCUCAAAUUUGAAAGCUGGCCCUUUCAGGGUCCGCAUUGUAAUUUGUAGAGGAUGAUUCGGCGAGGGCUCCCGCCUAAGUCCCCUGGAACGGGGCGUCAUAGAGGGUGAGAAUCCCGUAUGCGGUGGGUUGCCUUAGCCAUGUGAAUCUCCUUCGACGAGUCGAGUUGUUUGGGAAUGCAGCUCUAAAUGGGAGGUAAAUUUCUUCUAAAGCUAAAUACCGGCCAGAGACCGAUAGCGCACAAGUAGAGUGAUCGAAAGAUGAAAAGCACUUUGGAAAGAGAGUUAAAAAGUACGUGAAAUUGUUGAAAGGGAAGCGCUUGCAACCAGACUUGUCCGCAGUUGCUCAGCCGGUCUUCUGACCGGCGUACUCUUCUGCGGCCAGGCCAGC
rnacentral:rRNA from 1 species